UAGAGCAAAACCUCAAACAACAAAAACCUUCCUAAGUACAAACUUUCUUGACUUUCUAAGUUCAUAAAUUAUAGGAUUCCUAACUACAUGCUACUUUUUUAGUUACAUAAUCUUUGUAUCAUCAAUGGACUGCUUUGCUCUCUUCGACUCUGCAUACAUGCCUAGUCUGUCCACCAUCUUUUUUAAUUUGCCCAACACAAAAUUUCAGAUUCAGGCUAAUUUGUCUGAAAAUUCUUCAGUUUCUCGCUUGCCAGGUGAGAUAUACAAUUGCUCCUAUGAUUACUUCCAAUGCCUUCUUUUAAUCCACUAUAACAUCUCUGGUAUUUCCAUCUUUGGUAAAUUUAUUGCUGCCCAACUUGUUAGUGUAUCUCUCAUGCUUUUAAACCAACAGCAAUUCCCAAACAGAUGUUGCUGUGUCUCAAUCACUCCCAAAUUACACAUGUAACAUUCAGCAUUACCUGUUAUAGGGAUGUUCAUCUGUAUUAAUCUGCUUUUUGUUUGCAUUUUUUGUUGGUAUGCCAGUCACAAGACAAAUAUGUGUCUUGGUAGUAGUGUCCUAUUCCAUAUCAGCUGUUUGUGAAAUUGAGACGGACGGCAUUAUCUCUGAAAUUAAAUACUAUAAUAAUGCAGUUGUGUGCUAUGUUUUGGGAGCUCACCCACC
rnacentral:lncRNA from 1 species